UAACGAAUCUUCCGCAAUGCGCGAAAGCGUGACGGAGCAAUGCCGCGUGCAGGAUGAAGCCCUUCGGGUUGUAAAGCUCUUUCGGCCGGGAAGAAAUCGCUCAAGCUAAUACCUUGGGUGGAUGACGGUACCGGAAGAAGAAGCACCGGCUAACUACGUGCCAGCAGCCGCGGUAAUACGUAGGGUGCGAGCGUUAAUCGGAAUUACUGGGCGUAAAGCGUGCGCAGGCGGUUUCGUAAGACAGAUGUGAAAUCCCCGGGCUUAACCUGGGAACUGCGUUUGUGACUGCGAGACUUGAGUGCGGCAGAGGGGGGUGGAAUUCCACGUGUAGCAGUGAAAUGCGUAGAGAUGUGGAGGAACACCGGAUGGCGAAGGCAGCCCCCUGGGUCGACACUGACGCUCAUGCGCGAAAGCGUGGGGAGCAAACAGGAUUAGAAACCCGAGUAG
rnacentral:rRNA from 1 species